rnacentral:rRNA from 1 species
GAUGAACGCUGGCGGCGUGCCUAAUACAUGCAAGUCGAGCGAACAGACGAGGAGCUUGCUCCUCUGACGUUAGCGGCGGACGGGUGAGUAACACGUGGAUAACCUACCUAUAAGACUGGGAUAACUUCGGGAAACCGGAGCUAAUACCGGAUAAUAUAUUGAACCGCAUGGUUCAAUAGUGAAAGACGGUGUUGCUGUCACUUAUAGCUGGAUCCGCGCCGCAUUAGCUAGUUGGUAAGGUAAAGGCUUACCAAGGCAACGAUGCGUAACCGACCUGAGAGGGUGAUCGGCCACACGGGAACUGAGACACGGUCCAGACUCCUACGGGAGGCAGCAGUAGGGAAUCUUCCGCAAUGGGCGAAAGCCUGACGGAGCAACGCCGCGUGAGUGAUGAAGGUCUUCGGAUCGUAAAACUCUGUUAUUAGGGAAGAACAAAUGUGUAAGUAACUAUGCACGUCUUGACGGUACCUAAUCAGAAAGCCACGGCUAACUACGUG